rfam:Gossypium hirsutum cultivar TM-1 chromosome 13, whole genome shotgun sequence
AAUCCAUGCAUCAGACAUUUUUGAAUUAAUUCUUUAAAUUGUUCUCAAGAUUCAUAUAAUGUUUCAUCCGUUAAUUGCCAAAAAGAUGUGAUGUCAUUCCUAAGCUU